rnacentral:rRNA from 1 species
GAUGAACGCUGGCGGCGUGCCUAAUACAUGCAAGUCGAGCGAACAGACGAGGAGCUUGCUCCUCUGACGUUAGCGGCGGACGGGUGAGUAACACGUGGAUAACCUACCUAUAAGACUGGGAUAACUUCGGGAAACCGGAGCUAAUACCGGAUAACAUGUUGAACCGCAUGGUUCAACAGUGAAAGACGGUCUUGCUGUCACUUAUAGAUGGAUCCCCGCCGCAUUAGCUAGUUGGUAAGGUAACGGCUUACCAAGGCAACGAUGCGUAGCCGACCUGAGAGGGUGAUCGGCCACACUGGAACUGAGACACGGUCCAGACUCCUACGGGAGGCAGCAGUAGGGAAUCUUCCGCAAUGGGCGAAAGCCUGACGGAGCAACGCCGCGUGAGUGAAGAAGGUCUUCGGAUCGUAAAACUCUGUUAUUAGGGAAGAACAAAUGUGUAAGUAACUAUGCACGUCUUGACGGUACCUAAUCAGAAAGCCACGGCUAACUACGUG